UUUAAUAUAGCAGAAAAUAAAUGCAUUGAAUUUAAACUCCAAUUGUAAAGAUUCUUUUAUAUACAUCUUUUAUUAAAA
rnacentral:tRNA from 1 species